CCAGUGUGACAUAUUUUCAGAAAGUGACAACAUGGUUUAGAAACUGUCAGUACCUAAUGAAGCAUUUCAGCUCUGUUUUAUAAGCUGUGAUUAUCAUGAUCAUUUUACUGAUACAUAUAUGGAUUUGACAGCUGCAGCCCUUUAGCCUUUUAAGUAAUCUGGUCAGCAAAAUUGCUAGUAUGUAGGUCAAUUUAACCACUUCUUUCUAGGUUUUCUGGUGUUUUUUUAGUCAUAUGCACUGGGUGUAUUUUGUGUCUUCUGUAUGGGAAUUCUUUCCCCUUUUCAGUAUUCUUUGUAAACAGAUUUUUCCUAUGAGAAAUGAUCAGAUGAAAUACAUUCCUGGAACAGUGACAUCGUAGUCUCUGCAUCUUCCCUUGUCCUUCUUCAGACAAGGUCCUGGGAGGCAAUGGACAUAAAAUGGCUUCUU